CUAGCACCACGAGCAAGCGGGCCGCUGUCUCCGCCCGCCCACUAGCACAGCACAAGGACGCACACACAACACGUGGCAUCCACAGCACUGUGAGCAGAAGAAGAGAAGCGCCAUGUGGUUAUAGUUGCAGGUUGAAAAUGACACAUUGGCAAGCUGCACUAUUUGCAAAAAGGCUGUAUGGUACGGUGGCAACACAACAAUUUGAUGCAAACACAUGAAAACCCACGCCAAAGAAAACAAUGACCUGCAGAAACGGAGAGAGUGAAAUCAGCCACCCCAUGGCUCCGCUGCCAGACCCCCAAUUCAGAUGCAGAGGUCAUUGGCAGAAGCUUUUCAGCAUGCCAGAGAAUAUCUAGGUGUGGAUAAUAGCGUUGGAGGUGAAGUGUCGGCUCUGCUCCACAGAGCUAUCUUACAUCAAUAAGAGCACUUCAUCAAUGCUGAGGCAUUAUAGAGCUCAGCAUGGCAAUGAAGAAUUGGCAGAUACUCGUGUGAAUUCCCCAGUUCCUAGCAAGCAAGCAGUGGAUGAGGCUGGGGUCAACAUGACCAUCAAAGACUGUCAGCCACUCACCAUUGUUGAAAAUAAAGGAUUCAGG